UACAGAGGGUGCAAGCGUUGUUCGGAAUUAUUGGGCGUAAAGGGCGCGUAGGCGGUUCGGCAAGUCUCUAGUGAAAUCUCUGGGCUCAACUCAGAGUCUGCUGGGGAAACUGCCGGGCUUGAGUGUGGGAGAGGAGAGUGGAAUUCCCGGUGUAGCGGUGAAAUGCGUAGAUAUCUGGAGGAACACCGGUGGUGUAGACGGCUUUCUGGACCGUAACUGACGCUGAGACACGAAAGCGUGGGUAGCAAACAGG
rnacentral:rRNA from 1 species